rnacentral:lncRNA from 1 species
UUAAGUGAUGGGAAUGAAGGGAAUCGAGUUCAGCUGAGGAAAGUAAAAUCAGGCGCGAAUAAGGUAGAAAAUGAGGAUGUUGUUGAUGUUCUUGAUGAGUCGAAGAAGAAUCUUGAAGGGGUGUUCAGUGAGUCAAGUGAUGGAAAUGAGGGGAAUCAAAUUCAGCUGAGGAAAGUAAAACCCGAGGCGAGUAAGGCAGAGAAUGAGAAUGGAACCGAUGGAAAUGAAGGGGAUCGAACUCAGCUGAGGAAAGUGAAAUCAGAAGCGAAUAAGGCAGCAAAUGAAGGGAACCGAAUUCAGCUGAGGAAAGUGAAAUCGGAGGCAAAUAAAGCAGAAAAUGAGGAUGGAAGUGACGGAAAUGAGAGAAAUCGAAUUCAGCUGAAAAAAGUGAAAUCAGGCGAGAAUCAGGCCGAAAAUGAGGAUGAAAGUGAUGGAAAUGACGGGAAUGGCAUUCACCUGCGGAAAGUGAAAUCAGGCGCGAAUAAGUUAGAAAAUGAGGACGGAACCGAUGGAAAUGAGGGGGAUCGAGUUCACCUGAGGAAAGUGAAAUCAGGCGCGAAUAAGGCAGAAAACGAGGAUGAUGGAAAUGAGGGGGAUCGAGUUCACCUGAGGAAAGUGAAAUCAGGCGCGAAUAAGGCAGAAAACGAGGAUGAUGGAAAAGAGGGGAAUCGCGUUCACCUGAGGAAAGUGAAAUCAGGCGUGAAUAAGUUAGAGAAUGAGGAUGAUGGAAAAGAAGGGAAUCGUGUUCACCUGAGGAAAGUGAAAUCAGGCGCGAAUAAGGCAGAAAACGAGGAUGAUGGAAAUGAGGGGGAUCGAGUUCACCUGAGGAAAGUGAAAUCAGGCGCGAAUAAGGCAGAAAACGAGGAUGAUGGAAAUGAGGGGAAUCGAGUUCACCUGAGGAAAGUGAAAUCAGGUGCGAAUAAGUUAGAAAAUGAGGAUGAUGGAAAAGAGGGGAAUCGCGUUCAGCCAAGGAAAGUGAAAUCAGGCGCGAAUAAGGCGGCAAAUGAGGAUGGAAAUGUGCUAGUGAAAACAAAAUCAGAGA